AUUGAACGCUGGCGGCAUGCUUUACACAUGCAAGUCGAACGGCAGCACGAGUGCUUGCACUUGGUGGCGAGUGGCGAACGGGUGAGUAAUACAUCGGAACGUGUCCUAAAGUGGGGGAUAACGCAUCGAAAGAUGUGCUAAUACCGCAUAAUCUCUAAGGAGAAAAGUAGGGGAUCGAAAGACCUUAUGCUUUUGGAGCGGCCGAUGUCUGAUUAGCUAGUUGGUGGGGUAAUGGCCUACCAAGGCGACGAUCAGUAGCUGGUCUGAGAGGAUGGCCAGCCACACUGGGACUGAGACACGGCCCAGACUCCUACGGGAGGCAGCAGUGGGGAAUUUUGGACAAUGGGCGCAAGCCUGAUCCAGCAAUGCCGCGUGAGUGAAGAAGGCCUCGG
rnacentral:rRNA from 1 species